GACGAACGCUGGCGGCGUGCUUAACACAUGCAAGUCGAACGGAAAGGCCCUGCUUUUGUGGGGUGCUCGAGUGGCGAACGGGUGAGUAACACGUGAGUAACCUGCCCUUGACUUUGGGAUAACUUCAGGAAACUGGGGCUAAUACCGGAUAGGAGCUCCUGCUGCAUGUUGGGGGUUGGAAAGUGUCGGCGGUUGGGGAUGGACUCGCGGCUUAUCAGCUUGUUGGUGGGGUAGUGGCUUACCAAGGCUUUGACGGGUAGCCGGCCUGAGAGGGUGACCGGCCACCUUGGGACUGAGAUACGGCCCAGACUGCUACGGGAGGCAGCAGUGGGGAAUAUUGCAGAACGGGGGGAAGCCUGAUGCAGCAACGCCGCGUGCGGGAUGACGGCCUUCGGGUUGUAAACCGAUUUCGCAUGUGACGAAGAGUGAGUGACGGUAAUGGGUAAAGAAGCACCGGCUAACUACGUG
rnacentral:rRNA from 1 species